AAAUGCCAUAAUUUUGUGCAUCUUGAAAACUGGAAAGGCGGAUCACUUUGAAGCAGAUGAUAGUGAUAGUGUUUAAAAUAAUUGUUUGCCACAGUUAUACCAGUUGGAACAGAUAAAAGAUACAUCAGAUGACAGACUUACAUAUAGAGGAGCCUAUAAUUAGAGAAAUGGAUCAACUUGAUUUUGAAGUUAACCUACUACAUUAAUAUGAAAAUUCAUAAGUGACUGAGCUUAAAGAAAAUCUCACAUAAAACUGAAACCAGUUUGGGAGACUCAUACAACAGAACAUUUCAAUACCUAUUAAGUUUUUUAUGUAUAUAUGUUUGACUUUUGGUAAUAUUUUGAAAGUUACUUUAGUAAUUGAGAGACCUCAAUGUUGAAAAUGACAAUUUUGAUAGAGGACAAUUUUAAGAAUAUCAACUUAGUUGUUUAUGGGUCUUUAUCUUUUAAAAUAUUACUGGGUGUCUGAAAGAAUAUUUCAAAUUUUUCUUAAACUAUUUAGAUAUUUAUCAUGUUUCAUGUGUUUAUAUAGGCAAAUAUUUAUACAUGUCAUUUAUGUUAUG